GUUUUAUGGAUAAGCUAUUAAGGGCUAACGGUGGAUGCCUUGGCAUCGGAAGGCGAUGAAGGACGUGGUAAGCUGCGAUAAGCUUCGGGGAGUCGUUAACAGGCUUUGAUCCGGAGAUUUCCGAAUGGGGAAACCCGGUGGGAGUUAUAUCCCAUCAUCAUGCACUGAAUUCAUAGGUGCAUGAAGCGAACGCGGGGAAUUGAAACAUCUUAGUACCCGCAGGAAUAGAAAUCAAUUUAGAGAUUCCGUCAGUAGCGGCGAGCGAAAGCGGAAAAGCCCAAACCAGAUUUAUCUGGGGUUGUAGGAGCCCGACAUGGGAUUGAAAAUGUAUAGCGGAACAGUAUGGAAAGGCUGAUCAUAGACGGUGAUAAUCCGGUACGCGAAAUGCAGUUUCACCCUAGGGAUUUCCUGAGUACCACGGGACACGUGAAACCCUGUGGGAAUCCGGGAGGACCAUCUUCCAAGGCUAAAUACUAACCGAUGACCGAUAGUGAACGAGUACCGUGAGGGAAAGGUGAAAAGAACCCCGGGAGGGGAGUGAAAUAGAAACUGAAACCGUUAGCUUACAAGCAGUAGGAGCACUAUGUCUUCGGACAGUGUGACUGCGUGCCUUUUGCAUAAUGAGUCAACGACUUACCCUAUGCAGCGAGGUUAAGCCGAGAGGUGGAGCCGCAGCGAAAGCGAGUCUUAACUGGGCGUUUAGUUGUAUGGGGUAGACCCGAAGCCGGGUGAUCUAUCCAUGGCCAGGGUGAAGUCUCGGUAACACGAGAUGGAGGCCCGAACCGAUAUAGGUUGAAAACUGUUCGGAUGAGCUGUGGAUAGGAGUGAAAGGCUAAUCAAACUCGGUGAUAGCUGGUUUUCUCCGAAAUAUAUUUAGGUAUAGCCUCACAUGAUGACUGACGGAGGUAGAGCACUGACAAGGCUAGGGGUCCCACCGGAUUACCAACCCUUUUCAAACUCCGAAUACCGUCAAGUUCUAAUGUGGGAGUCAGACUACGGGAGAUAAGUUCCGUGGUCGAAAGGGAAAGAACCCAGACCGUCAGCUAAGGUCCCUAAAUCUAUGCUAAGUGGAAAAGGAUGUGGAAUUGUUUAUACAACCAGGAGGUUGGCUUAGAAGCAGCAACCCUUUAAAGAAAGCGUAAUAGCUCACUGGUCUAAUGAUACCGCGCCGAAAAUUUAACGGGGCUAAGCAUAGUACCGAAGCUACGGAUU
rnacentral:rRNA from 1 species